rnacentral:rRNA from 1 species
UACGAAGGGGGCUAGCGUUGUUCGGAUUUACUGGGCGUAAAGCGCACGUAGGCGGACUCUUAAGUCGGUGGUGAAAUCCUGGAGCUCAACUCCAGAACUGCCUUCGAUACUGAGAGUCUCGAGUCCGAGAGAGGUGAGUGGAACUGCGAGUGUAGAGGUGAAAUUCGUAGAUAUUCGCAAGAACACCAGUGGCGAAGGCGGCUCACUGGCCCGAUACUGACGCUGAGGCACGAAAGCGUGGGGAGCAAACAGG